AAGAAGGUAGCAUAGUGGUUAUGCGGUUGGCUUGAAACCAUUUUAAGGGGGUUCGAUUCCUUCCUUUCUUG
rnacentral:tRNA from 1 species